AGAUUUCAAAGCCAUGUAUAGAAGUAAAGAGAAUAUUUUAAUUCCUUAACGGGCUUGAGAAUAGUUAUUCAUUAGUGCAGUCAGUAAAAGUUAGAAGGUACUGGUCGUGCAGUAGAAUUUUUCACUAUAAAGCUUCUUGCAUGAAUUUAAACCCCUUCCUUCUCACCAUAUACUUUUAUUUUCAAUUUUAAGGACUAAUAUACCAAUGAGAACACUGAUGCAGUCAAAUUUUGAGAGUAGGAGGAAGCACAGAUUGAAAGGGAUAGAUACUGAUGUUGCAAUAGUAGCUAAACCAGUACACAGUUUUACAAAUAAAUAGUUACACUGGGAAACCGUAACUGCAGAUUAAGAACAUACAGUGCCUCACAGUGUAUUUGUACUUAUAGAAUGUCAUAAGCAUGUGGGAUUCUCAAAGGUUUGGUCAUUAUAUUUCUACUCAAGUAGUUUACAAUACAAGUUGUCCACAGACAAAGGGACAGGUCUAUGGAGGAUGAAGGUUGUAACUGUGAAAUAUUACAAAAUGUGGUUUGUAUUAUACCCAUUUUUAAUGCUUUGUUUGUAUUUUUAAUUAAUUCAUAUAAUAUAGUUUGUAGGUUACAUCCAAAAUGAAGUUCACAGGGAGUGGAGGUCAGUUGCUGAAUGCUGACCAAAAUGGGUGAGUUUUGAGGGAUUUGAGAUGCACAGGGUCAGGAAAGACAUUCCAGCAUAGGAGACUGAAAGAAGGCAUGGAAUAACUUGUAGAAAAGUACAGAAACAGCCUCAAGUAUAAAUAAGCACUUGGGUUAUGAGCUGGGGAGUAGGAAACUAGGUGUCAGAAGGGCCUUGAAGCUGCAAGGAUGGAAGAUUUUGAACAUGAUAUAAGUCAGCAUUGCAUGGCAAUGCAAGAACUUGGUGAUGAGGGCUAGAUGGUCAAAACAGCCAAUAAUGAUUUUUUCUAGUGGCAAUGUGUUUAUAUAGCAUUCAUCCCUCUGGACAAACACACAAAGACAAACCAACCCCCCCACCCAA